AAAAAGGCCCUUAUUAGGGCCUUUCUUAUAUUCAAAAUAGUUUUUU
rfam:Bacteriovorax sp. BAL6_X ctg7180000028174, whole genome shotgun sequence.